UAUAUUUAGCGUUUUUACGUGAAUAGUUGUUAAAACAAAUAUGUAAAAAAUUUAAGGAGUAGCAAGCACUUGUAAAGUAACUCAGUGCGAAGUGUUUAAAAAUGCCUAAACCUAAAAAAAAUUUAUCAAGAAAAUCGAGAGGCGCAAGGGCAAUGGCCCGCAAACGGAGAAUGAUAUUCGCGGCGCGAGAAGAAGCAAUAAAUCAACUAAAUUAUACAGCAACUAAGGAGCAACUUCGAGAACUCAAAAGCAAACUGGCUGAACGCAAAUAUUAUUUUACUGAUCAGCAAACGCAAGUGCUUCUGCAAACAAUAUGUGAUACAGUGAAAGAUCAACCUGCGUGCUUUGAGGUAAAUACACCCUUCCAUGAAUAUUGGCGUGGGCCGAAAGUCCGAUUUUUUAGAAUUUUGAUUUGUAAUAGAAAAAUUAUGGUUCAUUAUGCCAUAAAACAAUCUGUGUGAAAGAUUGUCAAUAUCUUAGGCUCGUUAAUCCAUCAAAGUUCACGUGCU